rnacentral:rRNA from 1 species
CCUACGGGGGGCUGCAGUGGGGAAUAUUGGACAAUGGGGGCAACCCUGAUCCAGCCAUGCCGCGUGUGUGAAGAAGGCCCUCGGGUUGUAAAGCACUUUCAGUGAGGAAGAACGCCUGGUGGUUAAUACCCAUCAGGAAAGACAUCACUCACAGAAGAAGCACCGGCUAACUCCGUGCCAGCAGCCGCGGUAAUACGGAGGGUGCGAGCGUUAAUCGGAAUUACUGGGCGUAAAGCGCGCGUAGGUGGCUUGAUAAGCCGGUUGUGAAAGCCCCGGGCUCAACCUGGGAACGGCAUCCGGAACUGUCAAGCUAGAGUGCAGGAGAGGAAGGUAGAAUUCCCGGUGUAGCGGUGAAAGGCGUAGAGACCGGGAGGAAUACCAGUGGCGAAGGCGGCCUUCUGGACUGACACUGACACUGAGGUGCGAAAGCGUGGGUAGCAAACAGGAUUAGAUACCCCGGUAGUC